rnacentral:rRNA from 1 species
CCCAAAAGAUCGAAUGGGGAGAUUCAUCGUCAGCGGCUCUGGCACGCGGGCGGCUCGCGAUGCAGCGCGACCUCGCGGUCGCGCGGGCACGCGGUCGUACGUCGAUUAGCAUUGCCCGGGGCCGUCGGCGUGCACUUCUCCCCUAGUAGGACGUCGCGACCCGUCGGGUGUCGGUCCACGGCCCGGGUGGGAGCCUGUCUCGCGUGCGCCUCGCGGCGUUUCCAGCGGGUCAGACCCCCGGUGCGCCCGACCGGCUGCCCGGCGGUACUCGCACGGUAUAUGGCCGCAAAGAAAGAGCGUCUCUCUCGAACGAUGCGUCCGGGCCCGUCGUCAGCGUGGCAAGUGGUUCCCGGUGCGAGCGGAUCCGAUGCCGCCAUCGAGCCUGGCCAGCUGUUUGCUCGACGGU